rnacentral:rRNA from 1 species
CCUACGGGGGGCAGCAGUGAGGAAUAUUGGUCAAUGGGCGCGAGCCUGAACCAGCCAAGUAGCGUGAAGGAUGACUGCCCUACGGGUUGUAAACUUCUUUUAUAAAGGAAUAAAGUGAGGCACGUGUACCUUUUUGUAUGUACUUUAUGAAUAAGGAUCGGCUAACUCCGUGCCAGCAGCCGCGGUAAUACGGAGGAUCCGAGCGUUAUCCGGAUUUAUUGGGUUUAAAGGGAGCGUAGAUGGGUUGUUAAGUCAGUUGUGAAAGUUUGCGGCUCAACCGGAGAAUUGCAAUGGAGACUGGCAGGCUUGAGUACAGUUGAGGUAGGCGGAAUUCGUGGUGUAGCGGUGAAAUGCUUAGAUAUCACGAAGAACUCCGAUUGCGAAGGCAGCUUACUAAACUGCCACUGACGUUGAUGCUCGAAAGUGUGGGUAUCAAACAGGAUUAGAUACCCGAGUAGUC